GCAUCAAGGCUAGGACCACCGUCGAACACCUGCUGUGCGCACCGCCCUGCGUUCCUUUGCUUCACCACCGUGUGUGCACAGAUCCCAGGGUGUGCACAGCAGCAUAGAUAAAUACAGUUGUAGCCUGAAAGAUAGAACUUAUAAUCUAUUGCUUAAAAGUUUAAAGAAAGUUGUUCAGAGAAGGAAUAUAAGAUGACGGAUACAGUACUCAGCAUUGCAAAGUCUCUGGUGGGAAGUGCUGUAAGCAAGGUUGCUUCGGUUGCCGCAGAAAAGAUGGUCUUGCUGCUGGGAGUGCAGAAGGAGAUAUGGUGAGCAUCUGAAUUGCAGCCUAAUUAAUUUUAUUUGUCAUUUGCAUUAGAUUUAUUGGGACCACACUUAUGCAGAGUGGUAUGGUACUCAGUUUAUUUUUAAUGAUUUAUUUAUAUUUUUUAUUACAUAUCCUGGAGGAACGCAUAUGCAGUUUUUUUUAUAAGUAUAUUAUUUGCAACAUCUUCGGGAGAUACAUGUAGAGGAAAGUGAAAGUAGGAUGUACUGGAAGUCCCUCUAUAUGCCCAAACACAAGUGGACACAGUUUCCUCAUGGUAACCAUGUUCAAUGAAGGAAUACAAACGACGCAGCUAUUAUGGACCUGGUGAUAAUCUAAUUUAGACAGAAACAUGGUUGCCUUCGAGAGUAAACAAUGUAGCAUGGCAUGCUUAAGUCAAAUGCAUGUACAAUUUGACAUGGAACUAUUACGUUCAGUGCUGUGCAAUUUUGCUUUUGACCAUGGAAUCAAAGAUUUAAUGCAAAUUAAUCUUC
rnacentral:sRNA from 1 species